AUAUCAAUAAGCGGAGGAAAAGAAACCAACAGGGAUUGCCUCAGUAGCGGCGAGUGAAGCGGCAAAAGCUCAAAUUUGAAAUCUGGCACUUUCAGUGUCCGAGUUGUAAUUUGAAGAAGGUAUCUUUGGGUCUGGCUCUUGUCUAUGUUUCUUGGAACAGAACGUCACAGAGGGUGAGAAUCCCGUGCGAUGAGAUGACCCAGACCUAUGUAAAGUUCCUUCGAAGAGUCGAGUUGUUUGGGAAUGCAGCUCUAAGUGGGUGGUAAAUUCCAUCUAAAGCUAAAUAUUGGCGAGAGACCGAUAGCGAACAAGUACAGUGAUGGAAAGAUGAAAAGAACUUUGAAAAGAGAGUGAAAAAGUACGUGAAAUUGUUGAAAGGGAAGGGCUUGAGAUCAGACUUGGUAUUUUGCAUGUUACUCUCUCGGGGGUGGCCGCUGCAGUUUACCGGGCCAGCAUCAGUUUGGGCGGUAGGAUAAUUGCAGAGAAAUGUGGCACUGCCUCGGUAGUGUGUUAUAGUCUUUGUCGAUACUGCCAGCCUAGACUGAGGACUGCGGCUUCGGCCUAGGAUGUUGGCAUAAUGAUCUUAAGUCG
rnacentral:rRNA from 1 species